rnacentral:rRNA from 1 species
GACGAACGCUGGCGGCGUGCUUAACACAUGCAAGUCGAACGGAAAGGCCCUGCUUUUGUGGGGUGCUCGAGUGGCGAACGGGUGAGUAACACGUGAGUAACCUGCCCUUGACUUUGGGAUAACUUCAGGAAACUGGGGCUAAUACCGGAUAGGAGCCCCUGCUGCAUGGUGGGGGUUGGAAAGUUUCGGCGGUUGGGGAUGGACUCGCGGCUUAUCAGCUUGUUGGUGGGGUAGUGGCUUACCAAGGCUUUGACGGGUAGCCGGCCUGAGAGGGUGACCGGCCACAUUGGGACUGAGAUACGGCCCAGACUCCUACGGGAGGCAGCAGUGGGGAAUCUUGCACAAUGGGCGGAAGCCUGAUGCAGCAACGCCGCGUGCGGGAUGACGGCCUUCGGGUUGUAAACCGCUUUCGCCUGUGACGAAGCGUGAGUGACGGUAAUGGGUAAAGAAGCACCGGCUAACUACGUG